CUCCUCCUCCUCCCGUGGCCUCUCGGCCUCCGCCGCCUGCGCCAUUGGCGUCCCUCGGAGUUCACGCCGAGGUGACAGAGAAGAAGGAGAGAACGUGAGGCUUGGGACGGCGAGGAGAGGAGUAGAAGCUAAGCGACGGACUUUUUUGGGCUUUUAUAAGGAAGGUGGGGUGGGUUGGUGGACGCGUGUCACGGCAGCUGCAAGCAAUGGUGGAGUAGCGUGGAAGGGUCCUCGGGGC
rnacentral:lncRNA from 1 species